rnacentral:rRNA from 1 species
UACGAAGGGGGCUAGCGUUGCUCGGAAUUAUUGGGCGUAAAGAGCUCGUAGGCGGUUCGUCGCGUCGGCUGUGAAAUCCCGAGGCUCAACCUCGGGUCUGCAGUCGAUACGGGCGGACUGGAGUACUGCAGGGGAGACUGGAAUUCCUGGUGUAGCGGUGAAAUGCGCAGAUAUCAGGAGGAACACCGGUGGCGAAGGCGGGUCUCUGGGCAGUUACUGACGCUGAGGAGCGAAAGCGUGGGGAGCGAACAGG